rnacentral:rRNA from 1 species
UUGAAAGGGAAACGAUUGAAGUCAGUCGUACCGACGAGAAGUCAGCUUAUCGUGUGUUAACUUGUGGGCGUGCGUGAGUUUCGGCCUCGCUGUUUGCAUGUUUGUGCGCUUUGGGUGUACUUUUUCGUAUGGUUGGCCAACAUCAGUUUCGAUUACUAUAAAAUGACUGGCGGAAUGUAGCUUCGAUUUCGGUUGAAGUGUUAUAGCCUCUGGUAGAUGUGGUGAUUGAGACUGAGGAUUGCAACGAAUAUCCUUUGGGCUAUCCGUCUGGCCUCUGAAAGUUGCUUGGGUGCUGAAAGCUUGCUUAUGGUUAUCUAAGUUAACGGUCAAUAGGUUAGAACGUGAUUACAUUCGUUAAGGAUGUUGACGUA